GGAUAUCCUCUGCAGGU
rnacentral:misc_RNA from 1 species